rfam:Georgenia sp. STBG003 Ion020_assembly_c941, whole genome shotgun sequence.
GCACCGCUAGCUCAAUUGGCAGAGCAACUGACUCUUAAUCAGUGGGUUCUGGGUUCGAGUCCCAGGCGGUGUA